AUGCCACAUGUGGCACGCCUUUUGGUACUAGUACUCUUUGUGGUUUCUUUAGAUCCCUGGGCAUCAAAGUCGACAGCAUCAAGCUAUCAUGAGUAUCCUAGGAGAUUAGCACAUCACAUACGAAUGCCAUCCUUGAAUAGCAGUUCCAAGGUCACACGCACAGGUUCUGACAGAGCAGAGGCUUCGAUCAAAGGAGUGGAAGAAAUACCACACUAUUGUGCAUAUCAAUCAGGUGAAGCAGCAUAUGCUGGUACUAUAGCGACUAUGGAUGUCUAUGCUUUUCCAAAUUUGAAGAAGGGUCAAUCAAUUUCAGCCCAUAUCUCGGUGGCUGACAGCCAAACAUCGAACCAACUUGUAUCCGGAUGGGAGAUUGAUCCAGAUCUAUAUGGUGAUAGCAAAACACAUUUCUUCGUAUACUGGACGACUGAUAGGAAGAAUGGAUGUUCUAACUUGGAUUGUGACGGCUUUGUACCUGUAAACUUGGCUACUAUUACUCCCGGAGAUACUUUGGAGCCAUCUCGUGGACACAUGAAUAUUACAUUGAAGAUAUUUAAGAGUAAAGAAGAUGGAGAUUGGUGGCUACACUUUGGACAUGAUAUCAAUAAUCUUAGCCCAGUAGGGUAUUGGCCAAAAAGUCUUCUCAAUGGCAUGCAAGACCAUGCCGACGAUAUAGAAUGGGUAGGAAGUACUUUUUCCUUCUCCGGGGAGAUUAGUCCACUGAUGGGCAACGGGCACUGGCCAAGAAGCAAUUCAGCAGCAUCUUUUCGGAAUGUUCAGUAUAUUGAUAGGAAUGGUAAAGGUUAUGAUCCUCCUAUGGGUAGUCUUCAUGCUUUUGAGAGCCACAAACAAUGCUAUCGGACUGGUGUAUUUCAGCUUCAGGUCCAAGGCAACAUGUUCUACUAUGGGGGCCCAGGUGGUUGCACUGGUUAA
rnacentral:rRNA from 1 species